UACGGAGGGUGCGAGCGUUAAUCGGAAUUACUGGGCGUAAAGCGCGCGUAGGCGGUUUGUUAAGCCGGUUGUGAAAGCCCUGAGCUCAACUCAGGAACUGCACCCGGAACUGGCAAGCUAGAGUAUAGUAGAGGAAGGUGGAAUUCCACGUGUAGCGGUGAAAUGCGUAGAUAUGUGGAGGAACAUCAGUGGCGAAGGCG
rnacentral:rRNA from 1 species